rnacentral:rRNA from 1 species
UCUGGUUGAUCCUGCCUGAACUGAUGUGUUCAUUUCAAAGAUUAAGCCAUGCAUGUAUAAGUUUAAUCGUUUUAACGAGAAACCGCGAACGGCUCAUUACAAUGGCCAUGAUUUACUUGAUCUUGAUUAUCUAAAUGGAUAACUGUGGAAAAGCUAGAGCUAAUACAUGCACCAAAGCUUUGUCCUCUCGGAAAAGCGCAUUUAUUAGAACAAAACCACGCGGCUUCGGCUGCUUCUUGUUGACUCAGAAUAACUAAGCUGACCGCAUGGCCUUGUGCCGGCGGCGUGUCUUUCAAGCGUCCACUUUAUCAACUUGACGGGAGCAUAAUCGACUCCGUGGUGGUGACGGAUAACGGAGGAUCAGGGUUCGACUCCGGAGAAGGGGCCUGAGAAAUGGCCACUACGUCUAAGGAUGGCAGCAGGCGCGCAAAUUACCCACUCUCGGCUCGAGGAGGUAGUGACGAGAAAUAACGAGAUCGUUCUCUUUGAGGCCGGUCAUCGGAAUGGGUACAAUUUAAACCCUUUAACGAGUAUCAAGCAGAGGGCAAGUCUGGUGCCAGCAGCCGCGGUAAUUCCAGCUCUGCUAAUACAUAGAAUUAUUGCUGCGGUUAAAAAGCUCGUAGUUGGAUUCGUAUCGGUACCCUGGAACCCUCCGGGUGUUUCUGGGUGUUAUCGAUUUAUCGUAAUGUUCGGUUUUGAGUCCUUAACAGGAUUCUUAACAGGCAUUGCAAGUUUACUUUGAACAAAUCAGAGUGCUUCAAACAGGCGUUUUCGCUUGAAUGAUCGUGCAUGGAAUAAUAGAAAACGAUUUCGGUUCAGUUUUAUUGGUUUUACGGACUGAGAUAAUGGUUAACAGAGACAAACGGGGGCAUUUGUAUGGCCCCGUGAGAGGUGAAAUUCUUGGACCGUGGCCAGACAAACUACAGCGAAAGCAUUUGCCAAGAAUGUCUUCAUUAAUCAAGAACGAAAGUCAGAGGUUCGAAGGCGAUCAGAUACCGCCCUAGUUCUGACCGUAAACGAUGCCAACUAGCGAUCCGCCGAUGGAAAUUAUAUUGCCUUGGUGGGGAGCUUCCCGGAAACGAAAGUCUUCCGGUUCCGGGGAAGUAUGGUUGCAAAGCUGAAACUUAAAGGAAUUGACGGAAGGGCACCACCAGGAGUGGAGCCUGCGGCUUAAUUUGACUCAACACGGGGAAACUCACCCGGCCCGGACACUGUGAGGAUUGACAGAUUGAUAGCUUUUUCAUGAUUCAGUGGAUGGUGGUGCAUGGCCGUUCUUAGUUCGUGGAGUGAUUUGUCUGGUUUAUUCCGAUAACGAGCGAGACUCUAACCUACUAAAUAGCUGGUACAUAAUUUAAGUGUAUACAGCUUCUUAGAGGGAUUUGCGGUGUUCAGCCGAAAGAAAUUGAGCAAUAACAGGUCUGUGAUGCCCUUAGAUGUCCGGGGCUGCACGCGCGCUACACUGGCAAAAUCAACGUGCUUGUCCUACCCCGAAAGGGGCGGGUAAACCAUUGAAAAUUUGCCGUGAUUGGGAUCGGAAAUUGCAAUUAUUUUCCGUGAACGAGGAAUUCCAAGUAAGUGCGAGUCAUCAGCUCGCGUUGAUUACGUCCCUGCCCUUUGUACACACCGCCCGUCGCUGCCCGGGACUGAGCCAUUUCGAGAAAUUUGGGGACCGUUGAUUUAAUUUUUCUAAAUUACUUUGAUGGAAACCAAUUUAAUCGCAGUGGCUUGAACCGGGCAAAAGUCGUAACAAGGUAGCUGUAGGUGAACCUGCUGCUG